UCCCUCCUGUCGGCGACCAUUUUUCUCUUCCAACCACAAUAUUGAACACCAGUAGUAGACAGAUCUGUGAGCUGUGGGAGGAAAGGAAAGCGCUUGAAUUGUGAAACUGAAAAGCAUCGAUCAAGAUAGCGGGUUUAUCUUGUUUCUUUUUGUGUCCUUGGUUGAGAGCUUAACACCUGUCACGGAAGCCCACCCAACAUUGUUCAAAGGAGAAAGAAGAGAAAGCUACAAGUACAGGGAGAAGGAGAAGGUAAAAGGGAGGGGUG